AAUUGGGUAAAGCUAUGCUACUGGUUAAAAUACAGCAAAGAAUGUAUUUGUAUUCACUUUCACAGUUUCCAUAUUCUUUUAGUCCUUGCAAUAAAUGGAUCUGAUUACACCUUUUAAAUCGAUGUUCUCUCAAACUGGUAUGACAUAAAUGAUUGUUCUGUCAUUGUGAUUUUACUGCCAUUGUUUUCAGCGUGUGAGGUUUUUUAGUGAUAUCUCUCUUAAUCUCAUUUUGUCUUUCCCUAUCCUCCAGAUUGUAAUCUUAAAUCUGCAUGUUCUUUCCAUCCAAACUGAAGUAAUCUAUUUAAAGAGCCAACAGCGGCCACCACGGACGACUCUGGCUUGACCAUGACCGCACAGGCUUUCCAGCAGCAGUGAGCUCAGUAAUCCACAGCUAAUGAGCCAGAGCUCCAAAAUGUCCGUUGUGCAAGGGCUUCUUUAGAAGCGCCGAUUUCCUGUAGCUGAGCGUUGCCAAUGGAAAUCUAGAUUUUGCAGAUGUUGGACUGUAUCCAGCCUAGGUAAAAUUCAAAUUCAGUGAGUUUAUUUUCAGGGAAAACGAACACCUUAAGGCUUCAGCAUGAAUUUAGAAGGCAAUGGCUAAUCAUUGUCAGACCUGGUGUGAUUAAGGCUUACACCCCUUCCCAAAGCAGUUUCAUUGGUGCCUGAAUUCUCUUCACCAACUUGGGUUCUGAAUUUUCCCACCAAAAUUCUGUGUUGCAUGCUAAUUAAGAACUAUGCUUGUUUUACGGUUCUUUCAGAUCUGUGGGAGUCUUGGUAUGGGUGAUCUUCCUCAGAGCAGCUCUGGUGAGGCCAGGCUGCAACAGCGACCACUUCCAUGUUAUGAGUGUUCCACCAGGCUAUUCCUGCCUCUGUCCAACACAUGAACCACUCCUGUGUUUCCCAGUUAUGACUAGAAACUUGUCUAUUCAAUCCUAAUCUUCAAAUCUUUCAAAUUACUUUAAAUUAUCUCCUGAAAGAAGCUACUCCUGCAACAAAACAAUGGCAAAGUGAUUUUAGAGUAAUUUUCAGAUUGUGCUUUAUAACUGCAUUGUACCUCAGAAAUAGCUUGUCCCAGCGGGCAUGGCUUUCUCUGCUAUCCCUACCUCUCAUAUAUCAAAUUAUGGAUUAUUAUACAAAAGUUGUAUCUCUGUCUUAUUUAUUGAAGUGUUGGUUCACUAAAUAAAGGAUCUCAACAGUGAUUUGAGCUGGCUGAAAACCUGCUUGAAAUUUAUGUAUUUCAGUGAAAGGUUUUCAACAAGCUCUAUUUCUGAAGCUAAAGUACUUCAAUUCCCAAUGACCAAAUUCAUUAAAAUAUAAAUUAGCUUAAAGAAACAUAUGAAUCACAAUGGUAUAUUUGCAUAUCAUCUAUUUGGUGUGCCUAUAACAGAUUCUUCAUGUAGACUAACAGCUACUGCAAUCUUCACAACCACAGAGUUGAAUAAAUGACUGUGGGGCAAAUGAGAAAGCAAAGAGGAUAAGGAUAAAAAUUCUUUCUGCUGAAUGGGAAAGAAUACUGCAGAAUUCUGCAACUGAAAUUAAAACCUGUGUUAAACCAGUUUCCUUCACUAAGACGUCUUAGCUAAUCAAUUAGCAUUGACUGUCUCAGUAUUCUAAUAAUAGGAGAGGAUUUAAGGAAAUGUCAUGUUUCGUUUGUAUUUUCAGAACUGUAGAUAAUUACUGAUUAUUGCACAAGAGUGAAUAUCAUCUAAGAAAUAAAGGUGAAGAGGAUGGAACGAGAAUGUCUUAUCUCAGGGGAGUUAAAUGAUCCUCCUGCAGUAAGACCUUUGCAUCCUCAAAAGGCAGCAACAGAAAUUUCUCAUAAAGUUUGACCUGUUGUUCUAAACAAGGAGAAGCAGGAAGGAGGCUUGGCCCCUCCAUGGAUGCAGUGGGAUCAGUUCUGACCAGAGGUGUGAUGUGUGGGGAGGCUCAGAGGAGAAGCUGCUGGCAGAAGUGACCACAGGACCCCGUGGCCAGCCCAGGAAGGUGAGCUCACCCACCUCGAGCAAGGGGAAGGGGCUGCUCAGGGGCAACAGCCUGAGCAAGGUUUGCACCUGGCCUUAGCAGCCCCGUGCUAUUGAUCUUGCAGGGGAGGAGAGGUCCUCAUCAGUAACUGCAGUCUAGGAAUGCACUUCUAAAUUUCAGUUUAGUUUUUAUUGUGUGAGUUCAUCCAUUGUUGUGCACAGGAGUGUAACUGCUUAUUUUGCUGGACUAACUGUGUCCUGAUUUCCUCUUUUACCUUGGCAACUGAAUGGCAUAUUCCCUAUGGCUGAUUCAGGGCACUUUGGAGCAAGGAAAUACACACACACAGGUAUUCCCUCGGAGCAGGGGAGUGGUAUCCCACCUGGUUACUGGAGCCAGCUUGAGGGCAGGUAACAGGCAGUGCUGGGUCAGUCUCCCUCAGCAGGCACAGCCAGUGCCUGUAACAAGCAGCAGGGGAGGAGGAGAUUGUUUAUGAUGCAUAAGGUACCAUAAGAGGGUAUUACUCAAAAGAAAAUGAAUCAGGUUCUGAAACUGAGACAAUCAAAUUUUUCAGCAUGACCAGCUGUAGCUUUCCAGGGUACUGAGUACCUUGAAUUCCAUGUUCAAAUAUUUUGCAAGAUAAAAUACUGUUUAUUGGAAGAAAUUUGUGAGUAACUUUAAACCAGGAAUUAUUUGGGGAAUUUUCUGAGUGGUUUUUAGCUAAUUUAAAAACAAGAAAUGUAGGACAAAUUAAUUAUUUUGUUAUGUAUUGCUUCUUCGUCUCUAGUUUGAAUAGUGAGAGAAUCCAGCCUAGAAGUCAUACUCAAGGAUUGGAUUUCCUGUGUAAAAACUACACAAUGUGAUAACACAGUUGUACUGCAUAUUCAGUUUUGAUAUGUAACCUUUUAAAUAAAUUGGAAUACUCUUUGUGCCUAUACUGGCACACACGGAGAGAUCAUAAACAAUAAUUUUGUAAAGGUCACUUCCUCACUAAGCGCUUGAGCUCAUGGCAAGAGCAGCAUAGGGCUAUUAAAGGACCUUUAUGUUUCUAUUUUUUGGUGUCUGUUAAUAUUUUUUCAGCUUUGAAGCUCUAUUUAAUAUAAAGGCUGUGCAGUGUCCCAUGCCAUGGGUCAGUCAGUGCUGUGAGACCCUGGGCUGCCUCCCUAUGCAUUUUCAGAUCUGGCUGUAGGAUCCAGGGUCACUGGGCAGAGUGGAGCAGCAUGCCCGAGGCUGGCAGCAUCCCUCCUGCUGUGAAUCAGGGGGAAUACGGCAAAAUCCAAAAGGUGGAGGCUUUUGUGUCAGUAGCAUCUCAAGACAACCAGGUAUCAGGAUCCUGGGCAAUACAUGAGUGUCAACAGUGGCUGAGGGAUCUGCACAAGGUGAGAGUUACCAGAUACUUGCCAAGUUCAGCUGCAUAGCACAUUGCUCAGAUUUUCCUGCUGCUGCCCUUCUAAGGUGCUAAUGAAGUUGUAGGUUGAAUCAUUAUUUUUGGUCCAGUGGAAAGUCUCUUGGUCUUGCUUGUCUCCAGCAAAACACUUUGUUUCAGAGGAAAUGCUUGGAAGUUUAUAGUCCAUCCAGCCAACAUUAAAACUAAGCAUGUCUGCUGGUCUUCAGAAACAAAAGCACAUUUUGUUACAAACUCCCUUUAUGCUAUACUCAUUGGACUGCUCUUUCCUGUGAUUGACAAGAUGGCCUGAAUCAAUAUCCUUUUCUUUUCAGAUCUCUAUUAUUUUGAAGAAAUCCACAUUUGUCCUGCUGACAGUGUAGGGGGAAGUUAUUUCUCACUGUGGUGGCAUCAGAGGAUACCCUCUGCAGGAAGUGAAUCACUACCUUGGCAGAUCCUCCUGUGGAGAGGGAAAAGGAAAGCCUUUAUUUGUAAUCCUGUGUGCUUUUUCAAGUUGAGGACAGUAUGUGUAUUAUAUAACAACUCUACAAAUACCCUCAGUGUGAAUUUGAAGAACACAUAUAUCAAGUGCUUCAAGAUAAGUGGAUUUCUAGACAAGCUUUUUCAAAAGGUGUCUUAGCACUGUAUUGCUUAAUAACACUAUGCAAAUAGAUAUUCUGCUUUAAUUUUUAAAAAUAUUAUUUCAUGCUUUUUUACUGUCUGCCUUAAUUAUCCAAAUGCUGAACAAGUAUAGUCUUUUGAUUGAUGAGAGUUCCACCCCUUUACCCACACCCCUGCAGAUAUGAGGCUCCACAGUUUAGUACCAUAAAUCACUGUGAUUGUAUAACUUAACUACUGUAUGAUCAGAGAUCACAUGCAGUGGUAGCCUGGAUAUGCAUUCAUCCUUCGUUAUGAAUGUUUUGGGGCUAAAUUUAUUCUGGAUGUUUGGAGAAAUAUCAGUUUCUUCACUUAAGAAAGCAAUGCAUUUUAAAUAAGCAAUUCUUGCAACAAGCAAUUCUUGGAAAUAAUCACAAAAGUCUUCUAUUUGCAAUCUUCAUUAAUGUGAGUUAUUUCUUCACUUUAGGAGAAAUCUUUUCAGAGGAAAACAACAAUUAAACCCCUCCCCCCAGGCUCUGACAGCUAAGGAUCUAUGGAUCAGCCAUUUUAGUAAUUAACCACAAUUCCUCUGAUUUGUGAAUUUCCAGAUGAUGAGGCAGGAAGCAAGUUACAUCUUGGAGAAAUUGCCCUCGGGAGAGAGGAAAAACUAUUGCGAGGUUGACAGCACAACCUUGUACCGGCACAGUUUCCCUUCCCCAGUGGUUCAAGGAGUUCCAAGCACCCUCCUGUAAAUCAUCAGCUCACAUCUAUUUAUUAUCUUCCAGCCCAGUGCACAACACUAUCUGUUACACACGGAUACCAGCAAUAUUGCAAGGUGGACUCAAGGGAUAAAAGGCAGCAAACCCUGCACACCUCCUAUGCCUGAGUCACACCCACUAUAAAGCCUGGCUCUGUUCAUAAAGCGCAUGCUGUUGUCAGAAAUGAAACAAUAUGAACUGUUGUGGUUCAGAGUCGGGUUUUUUUAGUGUUUCUCCAAUAUGCUUGAUCUUAUCAUCUUGAUAUCUUUGUGUUGUUAUAUGGAGACAAAAUUUAUCUGCAUAGUAAUGGACAAAUUGCCUAUGAAAAUAUUGCUAUUCACUCGAUGAUUGUUGUUAUAUUUGGAGUAGGCGCCAGCCUCACUCUGUGAUGCUUGUCCUGGAAUAUCAAUAAAUAA